UACAGAGGUGGCAAGCGUUGUUCGGAAUUACUGGGCGUAAAGCGCACGUAGGCGGCCUGUUAUGUCGGAUGUGAAAGCCCUUGGCUUAACUGAGGAAGUGCAUCCGAAACUGGCAGGCUAGAGUACUAAAGAGGGUCGCGGAAUUCCCGGUGUAGAGGUGAAAUUCGUAGAUAUCGGGAGGAACACCGGUGGCGAAGGCGGCGACCUGGGUAGAUACUGACGCUGAGGUGCGAAAGCGUGGGGAGCAAACAGG
rnacentral:rRNA from 1 species